GUGCCAGCCGCGCGGUAAUACGGAGGGUCCAAGCGUUAUCCGGAAUCAUUGGGUUUAAAGGGUCCGCAGGCGGGCCAGUAAGUCAGUGGUGAAAUCUCUCAGCUCAACUGGGAAACUGCCAAUGAUACUGCUGGUCUUGAAUUCGGUCGAAGUGGGCGGAAUGUGUCAUGUAGCGGUGAAAUGCAUAGAUAUGACACAGAACACCGAUAGCGAAGGCAGCUCACUAGGCCUGAAUUGACGCUCAGGGACGAAAGCGUGGGGAGCGAACAGGAUUAGAUACCCUGGUAGUCC
rnacentral:rRNA from 1 species